CCUACGGGAGACAGCAGUAGGGAAUAUUGCUCAAUGGGGGAAACCCUGAAGCAGCAACGCCGCGUGGAGGAUGAAGGUUUUCGGAUUGUAAACUCCUUUUGUUAGAGAAGAGAAUGACGGUAUCUAACGAAUAAGCACCGGCUAACUCCGUGCCAGCAGCCGCGGUAAUACGGAGGGUGCAAGCGUUACUCGGAAUCACUGGGCGUAAAGAGCGCGUAGGCGGGAUAGCAAGUCAGAUGUGAAAUCCUAUGGCUUAACCAUAGAACUGCAUUUGAAACUGUUAUUCUAGAGUAUGGGAGAGGUAGGUGGAAUUCUUGGUGUAGGGGUCAAAUCCGUAGAGAUCAAGAGGAAUACUCAUUGCGAAGGCGACCUGCUAGAACAUACCUGACGCUGAUGCGCGAAAGCGUGGGGAGCGAACAGGAUUAGAUACCCCUGUAGUC
rnacentral:rRNA from 1 species